UACGUAGGGGGCAAGCGUUGUCCGGAAUUAUUGGGCGUAAAGAGCGCGUAGGCGGUCCGAUAAGUCGGCUGUGAAAGUCAGGGGCUCAACCCUUGAAAGCCGGCCGAUACUGUCGGACUAGAGUCCGGAAGAGGCAAGUGGAAUUCCCGGUGUAGCGGUGAAAUGCGCAGAUAUCGGGAGGAACACCAAUGGCGAAGGCAGCUUGCUGGGACGGUACUGACGCUUAGGCGCGAAAGCGUGGGGAGCAAACAGG
rnacentral:rRNA from 1 species